rnacentral:rRNA from 2 species
GGGCGUAAAGCGAGCGCAGGCGGUUUCUUAAGUCUGAUGUGAAAGCCUUCGGCUCAACCGAAGAAGUGCAUCGGAAACUGGGAAACUUGAGUGCAGAAGAGGACAGUGGAACUCCAUGUGUAGCGGUGAAAUGCGUAGAUAUAUGGAAGAACACCAGUGGCGAAGGCGGCUGUCUGGUCUGUAACUGACGCUGAGGCUCGAAAGCAUGGGUAGCAAACAGGAUUAGAUACCCUGGUAGUCCAUGCCGUAAACGAUGAGUGCUAGGUGUUGGAGGGUUUCCGCCCUUCAGUGCCGCAGCUAACGCAUUAAGCACUCCGCCUGGGGAGUACGACCGCAAGGUUGAAACUCAAAGGAAUUGACGGGGGCCCGCACAAGCGGUGGAGCAUGUGGUUUAAUUCGAAGCAACGCGAAGAACCUUACCAGGUCUUGACAUCCUUUGACCACUCUAGAGAUAGAGCUUUCCCUUCGGGGACAAAGUGACAGGUGGUGCAUGGUUGUCGUCAGCUCGUGUCGUGAGAUGUUGGGUUAAGUCCCGCAACGAGCGCAACCCUUAUUACUAGUUGCCAGCAUUUAGUUGGGCACUCUAGUGAGACUGCCGGUGACAAACCGGAGGAAGGUGGGGACGACGUCAAAUCAUCAUGCCCCUUAUG